rnacentral:rRNA from 1 species
AGUGAACGCUGGCGGCAGGCCUAACACAUGCAAGUCGAGCGGCAGCGGGUCCUUCGGGAUGCCGGCGAGCGGCGGACGGGUGAGGAAUGCAUCGGAAUCUGCCCUGUCGUGGGGGAUAACCUAGGGAAACUUAGGCUAAUACCGCAUACGACCCACGGGUGAAAGCGGGGGAUCGCAAGACCUCGCGCGAUCGGAUGAGCCGAUGUCCGAUUAGCUAGUUGGCGGGGUAAAGGCCCACCAAGGCGACGAUCGGUAGCUGGUCUGAGAGGAUGAUCAGCCACACUGGGACUGAGACACGGCCCAGACUCCUACGGGAGGCAGCAGUGGGGAAUAUUGGACAAUGGGCGCAAGCCUGAUCCAGCCAUGCCGCGUGGGUGAAGAAGGCCUUCGGGUUGUAAAGCCCUUUUGUCCGGGAAGAAAUGGUCUGGGCUAAUACCCCGGGGGGAUGACGGUACCGGAAGAAUAAGCACCGGCUAACUUCGUG